CCCCACGUCCCCAGGGCCACCUCCAGGGCCGUCGCCGCGUCCCCAAGGAGACGCAGGGAGGCGGUGGCGGGCGGGGGCCAGGGUUUAUUGGGGGGGGGUGGGCGGGUGACGUCCCCGUCCCCGCGGCGUCACUUGUAGAACUCGUGCUCCUGCUCGUCCUUCUUGAUGACCGUCUUGUAGGCCUUCUCGAAGUCCUUGGCCAGCACGAUGUAGCGGUUCUCCCGCACCGCCAGCAUGCCACCCUGCGGGGACACGGCCCGGUGACGCCCCCGUCACCUCCCCCCGGGGCUGCGCCCGCCCCGGCGAGGCGGCUCGGUGGCGCCGGCGUCACCUUUCCCGGGGCUGCGCCCGCCCCGGGGGGACUGUUGGGGCAGCCGCCGUGGUGGCCUCUGGUUGGGGAUGGGGUGAAAUGUCACCUGUGUCACCUCCCCUGGUUGGGGACAGGGCAAAAUGGCACCUGUGUCACCUCCCCUGGUUGGGGACGUGGUGAAAUGGCACCUGUGUCACCUCCCCUGGAUGCCCCUGGUUGGGGACAGGGCAAAACGUCACCUGUCACCUCCCCCCCAAUGGCACCUGGUUGGGGACGCAGCGCCGGUGUCACCCCCCGUCACCCGCCGAUGGCCCCGUCACCCGUGUCACCCCCGUCACCCUGCCGCGGAGGGAUACGGCAACGGCGUCACCCUGCCGCGGGGGCGCAAGGCACCCGUGUCCCCAGUGUCCCCUCCUGCGUCCUCGAUGUCCCUCGUGUCCCCAAUGUCCCACUUGGGUCCCCCAGGAUCCCCCCGUCCCCAUGGGGAACCCGAUGUCCCCUGGGGUCUCCCCUGUCCCUUUGGGGUCCCUGGUGUCCCCUGAGGUCCCCAAUGUCCCUGAAGGUCUCCACUGUCCCUUUGGGGUCCUUGAUGUCCCCCGGGGUCCCCAAUGUCCCUUUGGGGCCCCCGGUGUCCCCAAUGUCCCCUGGGGUCUCCCUUGUCUCUUUGGGGUCCCUGAUGUCCCCUGGGGUCCCCGAUGUCCCCAAAGGUCUU
rnacentral:lncRNA from 1 species